rnacentral:rRNA from 1 species
UACGUAGGGUGCAGCGUGAUUGAUCGAUCUGGGCGUAAAGAGCGCGCAGGCGGUCGUUCAAGUCGCGUGUGAAAGCCCCCGGCUCAACUGGGGAGGGUCACGCGAUACUGAUCGACUCGAAGGCAGGAGAGGGAAGUGGAAUUCCCGGUGUAGUGGUGAAAUGCGUAGAUAUCGGGAGGAACACCAGUGGCGAAGGCGACUUCCUGGCCUGUUCUUGACGCUGAGGCGCGAAAGCUAGGGGAGCAAAGCGGG